rnacentral:rRNA from 1 species
UACAGAGGUGGCAAGCGUUGUUCGGAAUUACUGGGCGUAAAGGGCGCGUAGGUGGCCUUCUUAGUCAGACGUGAAAUCCCCAGGCUUAACCUGGGAACUGCGUCUGAUACUGGAAGGCUCGAGUUCGGGAGAGGAAUGUGGAAUUCCAGGUGUAGCGGUGAAAUGCGUAGAUAUCUGGAGGAACACCGGUGGCGAAGGCGGCAUUCUGGACCGAAACUGACGCUGAGGCGCGAAAGCCAGGGGAGCGAACAGG